rnacentral:tRNA from 1 species
AGAUUAAGAAACUCAAGAAGAAACUUCUAAUUUAAUUCUUAAGCGGAGAAUCACCGUUUUUAGUCUU